rnacentral:rRNA from 1 species
GCCGGUGUUUCGUCUGCGUGUGCCCCACCUCUUCCCAUUCCGAACAGAGUAGUGAAAGCGCGCAGACCCGAUGAUACUUGAGGCCUUGCGCUUCCGGGAAAGUAGGGUACGCCGGCA